ensembl:misc_RNA Y_RNA Y RNA
GGCUGGUCCAAGUGCAGUGGUGUUUACAACUAAUUGACCACAGCCAGUCACAGAUUUCUUUGUUGCUUCUUCACUCCCACCGCUUCCGUUGACUCGCCUAAA